rnacentral:lncRNA from 1 species
AUCUACCUGUACCCAGGAACAGAUGAACAAACAUUUCUGGAAGCUUUUCCCUCAUUUUGAAGGUAGCAAAUAAAUUUUAUGCUAUAGUCUUUCUUUUUCUUUCUUUCUUUCUUUCUUUCUUUCUUUCUUUCUUUCUUUCUUUCUUUCUUUCUUUCUUUCUUUCUUUCUUUCUUUCUUUCUUUCUUCUCAGAAGAUGGUGUAGUGACAGAAUUGCAGAAAAGCAAUUUCCCCUUUUUAUUUCUAAAACAAAGUUCACACUGUCAUCAGCUGACUUUAUUUAAAGGACCAAAAAAAAAAAAAAAAGAGCUUGAAAUAUAGCUAGACACUCCAGCCUGUAUUUUUGUAGAGCUGAUCGUACCAUUUUUUUGCCAGACACAGAGAAGAGCAGGAGUGGAGGUGUGCGCAUAAACAUUUGCCUCGGAGAAAGAAGUGUUUCCACCAGGAUGCUCUCAAGGAGGAUUAAAUAGUGGAAUGAACCUUCCAGCUUGGUGGAUGUGCUGGAGUGAAUCAGAAAGGGCGAGUUUCCUGAAGGCCUGGGAAAAGUUUCCUGAAGGCACAGUGGAAAGCUGUGCCACUGCAUGCGUGCCCCUCUCUGUCGGUCGGCACGAGGUCCCUGCAGGUGCCUGCUCUCUGUGCACCUGGGAACAGCAACUGCAAACCCGAGUGGGUGCCUGCCAUCACCCAACAUCCCUCCCAUGUGAAGUAAUGCCCUCCUCAUCCCGCAAAGUUUCUUGGAAAGCAGAGAGGGACAACCUCAAGAAAUGUCCUGAAAUAAUCCAGAAUGAAUGCCUGUAGAAUGCAAAUUACACUUUUUCUGUCAGAGAUGAACCUUUCAGACCACGUUCUGAGGCAGACACCCUAGCACUGUUUCUACCCGUCUUCCCUUGAGACAGGGAUAUAAUUAAAUGCAACCAGCAACAUCAUGAAAACGGUAGAAGAAAUUCAAACAAUAACUAUGUUAACUGGAAAUGGCUUAUUGUUCAGUGAAAAACAGCUGAUCUCCAUCAGAAACAGACACUUUAAUUGCCAGUGCUUACUGUGGCCAAGAAAGAAAAGGAAAUUCCAUAAGAAAAGGGUUUUCCCUUUACUAAAUGCAGUUUCUUUCCUAGAAAUGCAGGGAAAAUGGCUCUCUGCCACAUCUUGCCUGAAGACCAUACAUAUAUCACUGGAGAUCAGAGGAAGAGAUGACACACGCUGGCAUCAGGCAGGAUUUAUGGAAAGCUGCUCCUGUGACAGUCGUCUCCUACAUGACCUCUUGCAGUUCCUUCUAAGACUUCUUUCUUUUACUCCUUGUAAAUAUUCCUGGUGCAGAGGCAUUGAAAUAUUACAAAAAAAUAUUUGUAUACUCAUAAGGCAGAUGGAUGUGCUAAUUUCUCCAUGA